rnacentral:pre_miRNA from 13 species
CUGGUCCGUGCCCAGUGGCGUAAAUCUCACUGGGGCCUCCAAAUGUUGUAACCAGCAAGUUGGAAAGCACCACUCUCUGAGUUCCAAAUUAAGAGUCCUUUAUUUG